rnacentral:rRNA from 1 species
CAAUAGCGUAUAUUUAAGUUGUUGCAGUUAAAAAGCUCGUAGUUGGAUUUCGGAUGGGAUUUGCCGGUCCGUCGUUACGAUGUGCACUGGCCAGUCCUAUCUUGUUGUCGGGGACUAGCUCCUUGGAUUCACUUCCUGGGACUAGGAGCUGACGAGGUUACUUUGAGUAAAUUAGAGUGUUCAAAGCAAGCCUACGCUCUGAAUACAUUAGCAUGGAAUAACGCGAUAGGACUCUGGCUUAUCUUGUUGGUCUGUGAGACCAGAGUAAUGAUUAAGAGGGACAGUCGGGGACAUUCGUAUUUUAUUGUCAGAGGUGAAAUUCUUGGAUUUAUGAAAGACGAACUUCUGCGAAAGCAUUUGUCAAGGAUGUUUUCAUUAA